CUACCGAACACGGCCUUAUAUAUUAUGCGACAAGGUCGUCCCGAGACCAAUUGUUCUUUCUCCCGCCAUUGCCAAAGUUGUAAUGAAUCAGCACGGGAACGUCCAAGUUUGCAAUAUGGGCCCUGACAAAGAAAGUAAAAACGGGCCGAAUGUUUGAGCCCAGGCCCACUUAUCCUCAGCGGCCCAAUAUUCCUUCUCCCGCUUACAGCCCAAGAUGCUGAUUUUGCCGUCGGCACCCUUUUGCGCCAAAAGGAAAUUUCGUCAACUCAUCGGACUAUAAAUGGCCAAGUUUCCCAAAAUUUCACGAGUGCACGGACUCAGCGUUCGUUUCCGCUCCAUCGUCUUCUCCAUUUCGAACCGGCGACAUUGACCGGCGAUCUCUCGGCUUUCCAACCGGUCCCCGUGCUUCGUAUACCGCGUCGUUCUUCCACCACCAGCUGAGUCAAAUCAUUGCGAAAUCAGAUUGCAGCCGCAAUUGUUCCAUGCAGGUGUGCAGAUGACAUUAUGUGGAGCAAAUGGAGGCACUACCGCUGUCAUUCUUCAGAGAAUCUGGGAGUGGCUGAAGAGGUAUUCACAAGAGGACAAGGAAUGAGUUUCGUAAUUGGUUUUAGGGGUGGGGGGUCAGUGUUGUGGCCGAACUUCUGAUCCUUAUCUGUUACUCUCAAUUAAUAUCCGCAAGGCGGAAGCAGGAGCGGUCUGCUUGAAGUGGUGCUUGCUUCCACUUCAUAUACUAUAAACUGUAACAUAAACGUAGAUGGAAGUAGGAGACUAAAAGACAAGCUUCCAUACAAGUAAUGUAUCAGCAAGCAGUGCCUGGUAAUUCAAUUCUCUGUUGACGAUGGAGCAUCAUUUGUUUACAGAGGGGUUAUCAUAUAAUUAUAUAGUAACUCCCAUGACUCACCCCUCCAUAACCAGCCAUAAUCGCAAUCCAAACAAUCCAGAGACAAUGGUGAUCUUUAGGGGGAACAUCAACUGCAGCAACCGAAUGUAUAGUAUAGCAAAACUGGAUUGGUGUAGUUCAAGCUUUGUGUAUAGUAUAUGCUUUGUUUUGCUUGGAGAGAUUUUUCUUAGUGUUGUGAGUUCUCUGUACAUUGGGUGAGUGGUUUGACCAUUGAAAUUAGUUUUUGAGGUCAUGAAAGAAACACCGCUUGUCAAAAAAAAGAAAAAAAAAAAAAUAACAACAACAACAAACUCCUCGUGAAAGCGUCUUUAGUUCCAUGGGAAUCUGCAUUUUCCUCGCGUUAUGAUAUUAGACAGAACAAGUUCUAGAUAGACAGGACAGGUUCUUUGUCAGGUGCAUGACUUGCUAGGCCAAAACAGGCAUUUUCCUCGCCUUAUGAUAUUAGGUGGCCCAAAUUAUCCACGCAGCACUACCCCUUGCUAUCUAAGAAGUCGACCGAUUAUUUGACGAACAAUUUUUAUUUCUUACGUUAUUGAUCUUUCGGGAGCUCUUCAGGAAGUUAUCCUUAUAAGAACUCGAUAAUAGAGCGAGCUAUUGUAUUGUGUAAAAGAAAGCGACUGAGGUUAGGCUAUUUAUGACCAGCUAGUACACACCACACACCACACACCUGAUUUCAUAUUCAGGGUCCUUUCAACUUCCACUCCAAACCAUAGGCCCUAAGCCCAUUGGGCUGCACGAGGCUUUUGGUUUGAGGCAAACUCUUUAGCAAUUAAAUUUGCUCACUCCAAACUAGAGAAGGCCAAGGGAUUUGUGAAGCCUGUGCCUAUAGAGACAUGAGAAAAUAUUAGUUUGUUGCCGCCACAGUCAUGUGGUGUCGGGAUUCUAAUCAUAGUUUGGCGUAUCGUCAGAGCUAUUAUUUCCACAUGGCUCUCGCAUACUAUGGCAGGUCCCAAAUUCAGUGAGAUCAGG